rnacentral:rRNA from 1 species
GGAUAACAUACCGAAAGGUAUGCUAAUACGGGAUAAUAUAUUUGAGAGGCAUCUCUUAAAUAUCAAAGGUGAGCCAGUACAGGAUGGACCCGCGUCUGAUUAGCUAGUUGGUAAGGUAACGGCUUACCAAGGCGACGAUCAGUAGCCGACCUGAGAGGGUGAUCGGCCACACUGGAACUGAGACACGGUCCAAACUCCUACGGGAGGCAGCAGUGGGGAAUAUUGCACAAUGGGCGAAAGCCUGAUGCAGCAACGCCGCGUGAGUGAUGAAGGCCUUCGGGUCGUAAAACUCUGUCCUCAAGGAAGAUAAUGACGGUACUUGAGGAGGAAGCCCCGGCUAACUACGUGCCAGCAGCCGCGGUAAUACGUAGGGGGCUAGCGUUAUCCGGAUUUACUGGGCGUAAAGGGUGCGUAGGCGGUCUUUUAAGUCAGGAGUGAAAGGCUACGGCUCAACCGUAGUAAGCUCUUGAAACUGGGAGACUUGAGUGCAGGAGAGGAGAGUGGAAUUCCUAGUGUAGCGGUGAAAUGCGUAGAUAUUAGGAGGAACACCAGUUGCGAAGGCGGCUCUCUGGACUGUAACUGACGCUGAGGCACGAAAGUGUGGGGAGCAAACAGGAUUAGAUACCCUGGUAGUCCACGCUGUAAACGAUGAGUACUAGGUGUCGGGGGUUACCCCCUUCGGUGCCGCAG